AACGAACGCUGGCGGCAUGCUUAACACAUGCAAGUCGAACGAGGCCUUCAGGCGUAGCCGCCCACCGGUUGCUAACCCCUUGGAACCUCUCCUUAGGUUCGGGAUAACUCCGCGCAAGGGGUCCUAUAAUCGGACAUAGUCCUCGGACCAAAGAUUUAUCGCCUUUGGUUGGGCGCGCGUUGGGUUAGCUAGCUGGUAGGGUAAAAGCGUACCUAGGCGACCGUCCAUCGCUGGUCAGAGAGGAUGAUCAGCCACACUGGGACUGAGACAAGGCCCAGACUCCUACGAGAGGCAGCAGUGGGGAAUAGUGGGCAGUAGGCGAGAGCCUGAUACAGCGAUGCCGCGUGAGUGGUGAAGGCCUGAGGGUUGUAAAGCACUUUUACCCGCGAUGAUGAUGACGGUACCGGGAGAAGAAGCUCCGGCUAACUCCGUG
rnacentral:rRNA from 1 species